rnacentral:rRNA from 1 species
UGAUCCUGGCUCAGGAUGAACGCUAGCGACAGGCUUAACGCAUGCAAGUCGAGGGGCAGCGGGGAGGUAGCAAUACUUCCGCCGGCGACCGGCGCACGGGUGAGUAACACGUAUGGAACCUGCCCGUAGCAGGGGGAUAAGCGGAAGAAAUUCCGUCUAAUACCGCGUAAUAACUCCGAGGGGCAUCCCUUGGGGUUUAAAGGGUAACACCGGCUACGGAUGGCCAUGCGGCGCAUUAGCUAGUUGGCGGGGCAACGGCCCACCAAGGCGACGAUGCGUAGGGGUUCUGAGAGGAAGGUCCCCCACACUGGUACUGAGACACGGACCAGACUCCUACGGGAGGCAGCAGUGAGGAAUAUUGGUCAAUGGGCGCGAGCCUGAACCAGCCAAGUCGCGUGAGGGAAGACGGUCCUAUGGAUUGUAAACCUCUUUUGUCGGGGAGCAAAAGACGCCACGCGUGGCGUUCCGAGAGUACCCGAAGAAAAAGCAUCGGCUAACUCCGUGCCAGCAGCCGCGGUAAUACGGAGGAUGCGAGCGUUAUCCGGAUUUAUUGGGUUUAAAAGGGUGCGCAGGCGGAAGAUCAAGUCAGCGGUAAAAUUGAGGGGCUCAACCUCUUCGAGCCGUUGAAAACUGGUUUUCUUGAGUGAGCGAGAAGUAUGCGGAAUGCGUGGUGUAGCGGUGAAAUGCAUAGAUAUCACGCAGAACUCCGAUUGCGAAGGCAGCAUACCGGCGCUCAACUGACGCUCAUGCACGAAAGUGUGGGUAUCGAACAGGAUUAGAUACCCUGGUAGUCCACACAGUAAACGAUGAAUACUAAUUGUUCGGGGAGAAUGAUCCCUGAGUGAUACAGCGAAAGCGUUAAGUAUUCCACCUGGGGAGUACGCCGGCAACGGUGAAACUCAAAGGAAUUGACGGGGGGCCCNCACAAGCGGAGGAACAUGUGGUUUAAUUCGAUGAUACGCGAGGAACCUUACCCGGGGCUCAAACGACACAGGAAUACUUUUGAAAGGAGGUAGCUCUACGGAGCCUGUGUCGAGGUGCUGCAUGGUUGUCGUCAGCUCGUGCCGUGAGGUGUCGGCUUAAGUGCCAUAACGAGCGCAACCCCCAUCGCCAGUUACCAGCAAGUCAAGUUGGGGACUCUGGCGAGACUGCCGGCGCAAGCUGUGAGGAAGGCGGGGAUGACGUCAAAUCAGCACGGCCCUUACGUCCGGGGCGACACACGUGUUACAAUGGCAGGUACAGAGAGAAGCAAUGCGGCGACGCAAAGCGGAACUUGAAAGCCUGUCUCAGUUCGGAUUGGAGUCUGCAACUCGACUCCAUGAAGCUGGAUUCGCUAGUAAUCGCGCAUCAGCCAUGGCGCGGUGAAUACGUUCCCGGGCCUUGUACACACCGCCCGUCAAGCCAUGGAAGCCGGGAGUGCCUGAAGUGUGCAACCGCAAGGAGCNCNAAUNAGGUAAAACUGGUGACUGGGGCUAAGUCGUAANCAAGGUAG